AUGUUUAAUCAUUUUGAUAUGACCUCUAAUCAUGGUGAUCAUUCUUUGUCAAAUGACUUAUUGCAUGCUUUCUUAUUUAAGCAUGUUGUACCAUGUAAAUUUGAUGCACAUAAGGUUUAUUCACCAAUGUUGGGAUGGUUUAAUGAUGAAUAUUGUCAAUCUUUUCAGAUGAAUAAGAGCUUCACUUAUAUGUGCAAACUGAGUUGCAAUAUUUUCAUGCCUUCUACUUAUGAUAAUAUUUUGGGUUUAUAUUUUAUGAUCUAUGAAAGUUACUCAUGUAUACAUGUGUCAUAUGUGCAAAAAUCAAGGGAAGUAAAAAUGGAUGACAUAUAUAUAUACACAACAUGUACACCUUGUCUCUUUUGUUGCCACAUUUCAGAUUCAGCAAUGCCGAGGACGGCUUCGUUUUCAAGAAGGGGAGGAUGA
rnacentral:rRNA from 1 species